UUGGCUUGCGUUCGUGUGUGUGUGUGUGUGUGCGUGUGCGUGCUUUAGAACGUUGAUGGGAUCAGUGUUGAGCCACCAGAAGGAGUUAAUGGUCUUUGCUGCUCUUGUAAGUCACACUCACUAAUAAUUGACAGGAGGCCUCACAGUGACACACACUUUUGUGUCCCUGCGGAAAGUUCACUGGGGACAUGAGGAGAGAGACUUUUGGACCGUUCAUACGGUGAUGUAGAAGCUGAAGCACAAAGCAGUCAAACGUGACGGUCUCCAUGGCAACACAGCAUCGCAUCUCUCCCCCAAUUUCCCUUAUGUAGCGGCUCCUUCUCCUUUGGGACUGGUGAGAAGAAGAAGAAGACCGCAGCAGAUCCUCCGCCGUCCAACCCCAAUGGAGACUCGUCCAAAUGUGCUUAAAGGAAUAUGGCGGCAUUGUCACACCAGGAACAGGCAUCAAGAAAACAACGCUACAGUCAACAUGAAGAAGGAAGUUGUGCGAGGAUCCUCGCAGACUGUGACAGCGCCACACACUGAUGGUUCCUGGUACAGGCCAGAGCUGCCAGAUAGAACCUCUCAACACCAAAAGAUGUGGCCUCGCGGUGGUUUGGGCAGCUUCACCCUCACCAAGAGAACCGCCACGCACACUUCCUCCACUGCAUGCACCCGCAGUUCUCCUCCACCGGGGCAGGUCCCCUCCUCCAUCCAGCCUACUUGAGGCCUUGAGUCCUCCACAACAGGAGACAUUUUUGUUCUCUCUUAUGAAUUGCCUGGAUUGCAGGUUUAUUCUCAUUCUGGCAGCAUCCAUGGGACCGUGGAGGUUUGUCAGUUUUGCUCAGGUUUUAUUGGGUUAUGUCAAAGCAAGAAUUUGAUUUUUAUUUUGUCAGUCCAUCUACAGUUUUUGAUACAGGAAGGUUUUUAAACCAAUUCACUAAAAUGAACAGAAAGCAUUUGUGUUGUAUUUUACAAUUUUCAAUUAGAUGGUUAUGUAUUCAGAUUUUUUUUUAAACUUUAAAACAAUUUUUUUAUUGUAAAAUCAAUCCUGCUUAAAGCUAAAAGAUGUUGGGGGAAAAAAAAGUUUUUCACAUUUCCAUGGGUCAACCGUCAAACGCUCGUAAAGCUUUUUUUUUUUUUUUUUAAAUCUUAAAGUUGUGAAGCAAAGUGAAUAAGCUCUGUCCUGAUUGGCUGAGGACUUGACACCCUCAACUGUUUAUUUGAUGAUACACACACACACACACACACAUGCAAGAUAAGAUCAGUCAGCCACACGGCAUCAGCUCAUAAAAUAAUGUAUGAAAACGUGUGUAAAUAUAAAAGCAGCAGAAGCAUA